GAUGAACGCUGGCGGUAUGCUUAACACAUGCAAGUCGAACGGACUCUUCGGAGUUAGUGGCGGACGGGUGAGUAACGCGUGAGAAUCUGGCUUUGGGUUCGGGACAACCACUGGAAACGGUGGCUAAUACCGGAUGUGCCGAGAGGUAAAAGAGAAAUUGCCUGAAGAUGAGCUCGCGUCUGAUUAGCUAGUUGGUGGGGUAAAGGCUCACCAAGGCAGCGAUCAGUAGCUGGUCUGAGAGGAUGACCAGCCACACUGGGACUGAGACACGGCCCAGGCUCCUGCGGGAGGCAGGAGUGGGGAAUUGUCCGCAAUGGGCGAAAGCCUGACGGAGCAAUACCGCGUGAGGGAAGAAGGCUCUUGGGUUGUAAACCUCUUUUCUUAGGGGAGAACAAAAUGACGGUACCUAAGGAAUCAGCAUCGGCUAACUCCGUG
rnacentral:rRNA from 1 species